rnacentral:rRNA from 1 species
UACAGAGGUCUCAAGCGUUGUUCGGAUUCAUUGGGCGUAAAGGGCGCGUAGGCGGUGGGGUAAGUCUGGUGUGAAAUCUCGGAGCUCAACUCCGAAAUUGCACUGGAUACUGCUCUGCUAGAGGGCUGGAGAGGAGAUCGGAAUUCACGGUGUAGCAGUGAAAUGCGUAGAUAUCGUGAGGAAGACCAGUGGCGAAGGCGGAUCUCUGGACAGCUCCUGACGCUGAGGCGCGAAGGCUAGGGAGCAAACGGG